rnacentral:rRNA from 1 species
UACGAAGGGGGCAAGCGUUGUUCGGAAUUACUGGGCGUAAAGGGCGCGCAGGCGGCCCUUAAGUACGAGGUGUGAAAGCCCCGGGCUCAACCUGGGAAUUGCACUUGAUACUCGAGGGCUUGAGUUCGGGAGAGGAGAGUGGAAUUCCCAGUGUAGAGGUGAAAUUCGUAGAUAUUGGGAAGAACACCGGUGGCGAAGGCGGCUCUCUGGACCGAGACUGACGCUGAGGCGGCGGAAAGCGUGGGGAGCAACAGG